rnacentral:lncRNA from 1 species
GCACAAGCCUUUCGCCUUUUACUAAAGACUUCCGUGGAGAGGAACACUUACGAGUUCAACGUAUUUUUGGAGCGGCUUUGCUUCUUGCAGAGCCCGGUAUCUUGUUUCAAGGGAAAUUGACAGAGAUGGGCCAGGAUAGUGACUUAAAGACGCAUUAGCGACUUUUUCCAAAAAACACCUGCCUGUUUGUUGCCAGGGAAACGGUGGGUGGGUGGGUUGGUUGAGUGAGUGGGGGUUGGAGGGAGAGAGGAGCUGGCUUUUGCCAACCCACCCGCUGAGGUCUGUCGAGACCCCCGGGGGUCCGGCGGUUUCAGGGUUCCAUUUGUGGGUUAUCGCUUCUCGGCCUUUUGGCUCAGAUCAAGCUUGGUACCGAGGUGCCCCAAAGCCCGCUUAGUCAAAAGGUAGAACCAGGAGAGCGGUAAGUGUGUUUUUUUGUUUUUGAAAAUUUUUUGAUAUAUAAUUUCUUGUCUUCUUUGUAUUUUCUUGUUUUUUGGAAGAGGUUGGUGAACCGGGU